UUUCCGUAGGUGAACCUGCGGAAGGAUCAUUACCGAAUUGUCAACAAGAGUUGUUGCUGGCCCCUGUAUGGGGGCACGUGCACACUCUGUUUACACAUCCACUCACACCUGUGCACUCUUUGUAGUUCUAUGGCCUGGGGGGCUCUGUCCUCCUGCUGUGGUUCUAUGUCUUUACACACACACUGUAAUAAAGUCUCAUGGAAUGUAUGUCGCGUUUAACGCAAUGAAAUACAACUUUCAGCAACGGAUCUCUUGGCUCUC
rnacentral:misc_RNA from 1 species